UGUCGCUCCCAUCGUUUCUUAAGAUCCUUCACAACAACUUCAAAACCAGCUUCACGGAAUCGUAGUAAUUCCAUGGCAUAGGGUUUGGCAAUCUCUGUAAUGUCAAAUCUAGGAUCGAGGCCCUUUCCUAUCCCGUCCAGUACUGAAAAUGCUCUGACGACAAAUGUGAAAGUAGCUGGGAAACGGAAAGGUUGAUCAGCAGCAAUUGCCAAAAGAUCUUCUCCUAUUGCAGCUAGUCUUUGCUUCUUCUUUUCCAUCCUCUCUUCCCUGCUUAAUUGUUUUUUGAACCCAAGUUCAG
rnacentral:misc_RNA from 1 species